AGAGUUUGAUCCUGGCUCAGAUUGAACGCUGGCGGCAGGCCUAACACAUGCAAGUCGAACGGUAACAGGAAGAAGCUUGCUUCUUUGCUGACGAGUGGCGGACGGGUGAGUAAUGUCUGGGAAACUGCCUGAUGGAGGGGGAUAACUACUGGAAACGGUAGCUAAUACCGCAUAACGUCGCAAGACCAAAGAGGGGGACCUUCGGGCCUCUUGCCAUCGGAUGUGCCCAGAUGGGAUUAGCUAGUAGGUGGGGUAACGGCUCACCUAGGCGACGAUCCCUAGCUGGUCUGAGAGGAUGACCAGCCACACUGGAACUGAGACACGGUCCAGACUCCUACGGGAGGCAGCAGUGGGGAAUAUUGCACAAUGGGCGCAAGCCUGAUGCAGCCAUGCCGCGUGUAUGAAGAAGGCCUUCGGGUUGUAAAGUACUUUCAGCGGGGAGGAAGGGAGUAAAGUUAAUACCUUUGCUCAUUGACGUUACCCGCAGAAGAAGCACCGGCUAACUCCGUGCCAGCAGCCGCGGUAAUACGGAGGGUGCAAGCGUUAAUCGGAAUUACUGGGCGUAAAGCGCACGCAGGCGGUUUGUUAAGUCAGAUGUGAAAUCCCCGGGCUCAACCUGGGAACUGCAUCUGAUACUGGCAAGCUUGAGUCUCGUAGAGGGGGGUAGAAUUCCAGGUGUAGCGGUGAAAUGCGUAGAGAUCUGGAGGAAUACCGGUGGCGAAGGCGGCCCCCUGGACGAAGACUGACGCUCAGGUGCGAAAGCGUGGGGAGCAAACAAGAUUAGAUACCCUGGUAGUCCACGCCGUAAACGA
rnacentral:rRNA from 1 species